GUGUGUGUGCGCGCGCGCGCGCGCACAGGUUAGCUCUGGAAGUCACUGCUCUGGGCACAGAGGGCAGGGAGCAUCCCCGGGUGCCCGUUGAACUCAUUUGUAUUUCAGAAACAUGAAAAUCACCAAUGGUGUUUGUGCUCCUUGUAAAGUGAAACUUUGUCGAAAUCACUUUGUACUUGGGAGUAACAGCCACAUGAUUCACCAUGAAAUGAAGUCUGGAAAAUCAUUUUGGAUAAAUGGGCCUAUAAAUUCAAUAGAAUUUCCAUGACAACACAGGCUGCAACACUCAACCACAAAUAAAAGGUUAUAAAUCAUUCAACACCAACUAGAAAUUGGCAAUAUGUCUCCCGUCUCGAAGUGCAAGGAGCCCAGAGCUCAGGUUGUUACUCACUGGCCCCAAUUUCCCAUUAUGCUUCACUCCUCACUCCUCAUUUGCACUCUCUACCCCAUAAUGGGUUGUGGGUGACAACAUGCGGCUGUAAAGCCGCAAUUAAGCUAAGUAAAAUUAGCAUAGGUGUGGCAGUGGUUGUGGCCCCUUCCCUGCUCCCACGCCAAGGCCUCUCUGUGAGUGGUGUACGGAGAUAAGCAAUGCCGUUAUCCACUAACCCCAUGAAGCAUGAUAUCAACUCUCAGAGUCUCCAUGAGAAAAACUUCAGACAGGAGAAUCUCAACAACCUGGCCAGAUGGUCUUGAUGCAAGUCAGACAACCAAAGACGUGGGACCUACGGAGUAUCUUUCCAGAAGACAUGGAUUUGUGCUACAUUGGGUCAAUUGUAUGUAAGUAAAGGAUCUCACUGUAUCUUGCUUCCUGGGGAGUUUCUGAGGUACACAGAUGACAUGAUCCAACCAGGC
rnacentral:sRNA from 1 species